rnacentral:rRNA from 1 species
AACGAACGCUGGCGGCAGGCCUAACACAUGCAAGUCGAGCGGAUGAGGGUAGCUUGCUAUCUGAUUCAGCGGCGGACGGGUGAGUAAUGCCUAGGAAUCUGCCUGGUAGUGGGGGACAACGUUUCGAAAGGAACGCUAAUACCGCAUACGUCCUACGGGAGAAAGUGGGGGAUCUUCGGACCUCACGCUAUCAGAUGAGCCUAGGUACGAUUAGCUAGUUGGUGAGGUAAAGGCUCACCAAGGCGACGAUCGUUAACUGGUCUGAGAGGAUGAUCAGUCACACUGGAACUGAGACACGGUCCAGACUCCUACGGGAGGCAGCAGUGGGGAAUAUUGGACAAUGGGCGAAAGCCUGAUCCAGCCAUGCCGCGUGUGUGAAGAAGGUCUUCGGAUUGUAAAGCACUUUAAGUUGGGAGGAAGGGCAGUAAGUUAAUACCUUGCUGUUUUGACGUUACCGACAGAAUAAGCACCGGCUAACUUCGUGCCAGCCGCCGCGGUAAGAC